AUUGAACGCUAGCGGGAUGCUUUACACAUGCAAGUCGAACGGCAGCGCGGACUUCGGUCUGGCUGCGAGUGGCGAACGGGUGAGUAAUGUAUCGGAACGUGCCCAGUAGCGGGGGAUAACUACGCGAAAGCGUAGCUAAUACCGCAUACGCCCUACGGGUGAAAGCUGGGGAUCGUAAGACCUUGCCCUAUUGGAGCGGCCGAUAUCGGAUUAGCUAGUUGGUGAGGUAACGGCUCACCAAGGCGACGAUCCGUAGCUGGUUUGAGAGGACGACCAGCCACACUGGGACUGAGACACGGCCCAGACUCCUACGGGAGGCAGCAGUGGGGAAUUUUGGACAAUGGGGGCAACCCUGAUCCAGCCAUCCCGCGUGUGCGAUGAAGGCCUUCGGGUUGUAAAGCACUUUUGGCAGGAAAGAAACGUCGCGGGCUAAUACCCCGUGGAACUGACGGUACCUGCAGAAUAAGCACCGGCUAACUACGUG
rnacentral:rRNA from 1 species